AGUGAACGCUGGCGGCGUGCUUAACACAUGCAAGUCGAACGAGAACGGAUUAUAGCUUGCUAUAAUUGUCAGCUAAGUGGCGCACGGGUGAGUAAUGUAUAGGUAAUAUGCCUCUUACUAAGGGAUAACAAAUGGAAACGUUUGCUAAUACCUUAUACUCCUUAUUAACAUAAGUUAAUAAGGGAAAGAUUUAUUGGUAAGAGAUUAGCCUGUAUUGUAUCAGUUAGUUGGUGGGGUAAUGGCUUACAAAGACUAUGACACAUAACUGGUUUGAGAGGAUGAUCAGUCACACUGGAACUGAGACACGGUCCAGACUCCUACGGGAGGCAGCAGUGGGGAAUAUUGCACAAUGGACGGAAGUCUGAUGCAGCAACGCCGCGUGGAGGAUGACACAUCUCGGUGCGUAAACUCCUUUUAUAUGAGAAGAUAAUGACGGUAUUAUAUGAAUAAGCACCGACUAACUCCGUGCCAGCCGCCGCCGUAA
rnacentral:rRNA from 1 species